rnacentral:rRNA from 1 species
AGUCGAACGGGAUUAGGGGGCUUGCUCCUUAAUCUAGUGGCGCACGGGUGAGUAACGCGUAGAUAAUCUGCCUGAUGAUCUGGGAUAACACUUCGAAAGGGGUGCUAAUACCGGAUAAGCCCACGGGGUCUUUGGACUUUGCGGGAAAAGGGGGGGACCAUUUGGCCUUCUGUCAUCAGAUGAGUCUGCGUACCAUUAGCUAGUUGGUAGGGUAAAGGCCUACCAAGGCUACGAUGGUUAGCUGGUCUGAGAGGAUGAUCAGCCACACUGGAACUGAGACACGGUCCAGACUCCUACGGGAGGCAGCAGUGGGGAAUUUUGCGCAAUGGGUGAAAGCCUGACGCAGCAACGCCGCGUGAGUGAUGAAGGCUUUCGGGUCGUAAAGCUCUGUCGAGGGGAAAGAAGUGUACUUUGGUUAAUACCCAUUGUACUUGACGGUACCCCUAAAGGAAGCACCGGCUAACUCCGUGCCAGCAGCCGCGGUAAUACGGGGGGUGCAAGCGUUGUUCGGAAUUAUUGGGCGUAAAGCGCGUGUAGGCGGUUUGAUUAGUCUGAUGUGAAAGCCCUGGGCUCAACCCAGGAAGUGCAUUGGAUACUGUCAGACUUGAAUACGGGAGAGGGUAGUGGAAUUCCUGGUGUAGGAGUGAAAUCCGUAGAUAUCAGGAGGAACACCGGUGGCGAAGGCGGCUACCUGGACCGAUAUUGACGCUGAGACGCGAAAGCGUGGGUAGCAAACAGGAUUAGAUACCCUGGUAGUCCACGCCGUAAACGAUGAGUACUAGGUGUUGCGGGUAUUGACCCCUGCAGUGCCGCAGCUAACGCA